rnacentral:rRNA from 1 species
UCCAGAGACUGCAAGCGUUAUUCGGAUUCACUGGGCGUAAAGGGUGCGCAGGCGGUUGGGUGUGUCAGGUGUGAAAUCCCGAGGCUCAACCUCGGAACUGCGUCUGAAACUACUCGACUAGAGUACUGGAGAGGGAAACGGAAUUCACGGUGUAGCAGUGAAAUGCGUAGAUAUCGUGAGGAACACCAGAGGCGAAGGCGGUUUCCUGGACAGUUACUGACGCUCAGGCACGAAAGCAUGGGGAGCAAAAGGG